AUGCUACGGUGAAUACGUUCCCGGGUCUUGUACACACCGCCCGUCACACCACGAGAGUUUGUAACACCCGAAGCCGGUGGAGUAACCAUUUAUGGAGCUAGCCGUCGAAGGUGGGACAAAUGAUUGGGGUGAAGUCGUAACAAGGUAGCCGUAUCGGAAGGUGCGGCUGGAUCACCUCCUUUCUAAGGA
rnacentral:rRNA from 1 species